UGGCUCUCGCAUCGAUGAAGAACGCAGCGAAAUGCGAUAAGUAAUGUGAAUUGCAGAAUUCAGUGAAUCAUCGAAUCUUUGAACGCACCUUGCGCUCCUUGGUAUUCCGAGGAGCAUGCCUGUUUGAGUGUCAGUAAAAUCUCAACUCCUUUGACUUUUGUGGUUGAAAGGAGCUUGGAUGUGGAGGUUGUGUGGGCUUGUACUUGGUCUGCUCCUCUGAAAUGCAUUAGCAGAACCGUUUGCAAUCUGUUAACUGGUGUGAUAAUUAUCUACGCCUAGUGGGUUGCUUUCUGACUUGUUCUGCUGCUAAUUGUCCCAUUACAAGGACAAACUUUACUACUGAACAUUUGACCUCAAAUCAGGUAGGAUUACCCGCUGA
rnacentral:misc_RNA from 1 species